GACGUUUUCUAGGAUCAGAAGGAAGAGCUAUAAUGACGACUGGUAUAAAUCUGGUAGUUCUCGGAAUCUUGUUAUUUGGCUUCAUCUUUCUCUUUAAUUUUUAUCGUUGUCCAUUGUCAAAAAAGUACGGCCUUCCACUUGUCUAUGUUAUCCAGCUUUCUAUUCUUUUUUUCGUUUCUUUCUUUUUUUACGGUGUUCGAAUCUAUUCCAUUUCUCGCGUAGGCAUUUAUUUGAGUGAUCUUUGUUCUGUUGCUGUCGUCGGGUUUCUUUUACAUUUCUCAGGAGAAGAGAUCAUUACUAAUUCGGACUCUUCGGGCUCAGCAAACUCGGGGUCGCUUCUUAGAAUAAUUCAAGCUCCAAGUCCCGGUACACAGGCAGAAGUAUUCGAAAUACCCCCCACUCCGGACCCCGAGCCGGCGGUUCUACCACAAGCUGCGGAGCCCGAUAAUUCCUUUCCG
rnacentral:misc_RNA from 1 species